rnacentral:rRNA from 1 species
CCUACGGGAGGCAGCAGUGGGGAAUAUUGGGCAAUGGAGGCAACUCUUACCCAGCAAUGCCGCGUGAAUGAAGAAGGUCUUCGGAUUGUAAAGUUCUUUAAUUGGGGACGAAAAAAAUGACGGUACCCAAGGAAUAAGCCACGGCUAACUACGUGCCAGCAGCCGCGGUAAUACGUAGGGGGCAAGCGUGGUGCGGAAUGACUGGGCGUCAUGGGUGUGUCGGCGGUGUAGCAAGUUAGAAGUGAAAUACCUAGAGCUGAACUCCGGUGCUGCUUCUCAAACGGCUAUACUUGAGUGCAGGAGAGGCAAGUGGCAUUCCUCGUGUAGCGGUCGAAUGCGUAGAUCUUAG